GCGGGUCCGGGCGCCACGGGUUCCGGGGCCGCGGGCUCAGGUUUCGCGGGCUCAGGCACCGGUCGCGGUGCGGCGGUCCCGCC
rnacentral:tRNA from 1 species